UGGGGAAUAUUGCGCAAUGGGCGAAAGCCUGACGCAGCAACGCCGUGUGAGGGAUGAAGGCUUUCGGGUCGUUAACCUCUGUCGGAAGGGAAGAACGGGUGAGGGUCUAAUAGGCCUUCAUUUUGACGGUACCUUUAGAGGAAGCACCGGCUAACUCCGCGCCAGCAGCCGCGGUAAUACGGAGGGUGCAAGCGUUAUUCGGAAUUUUUGGGCGUAAAGCGCACGUAGGCCGCUUUGUAAGUCAGGGGUGAAAUCCCACGGCUCAACCGUGGAACUGCGCUUGAAACUGCGAAGCUUGAAUCCUGGAGAGGGUGGCGGAAUUCCUGGUGUAGGGGUGAAAUCCGUAGAUAUCAGGAGAAGCACCGGUGGCGAAGGCGGCCACCUGGACAGGCAUUGACGCUGGGGUGCGAAAGUGUGGGGAG
rnacentral:rRNA from 1 species